rnacentral:lncRNA from 1 species
GUGGCACAAACCGAGGAUCAUGAGCUGCCCCGAGGUGUACUUGAUGACAUCUGUGCUGCAGAAGGCACGAACCAUUAUUCAGCAGCCGAAGCAGAUUCAAGCAAAGCUGAUCAGUCCCCGCAGCUAGAGGCCUCGCUCACACGUUUGCCUAUUGCUGUCGAAGAGAAUCACCAAACUGUGGAAACUCAGGAAACUGAAAAAGGAGGUUUUUCGGAGAAGCAUGGAACAGAGGAGGAAGCAGGUAACGAAACUGGAGAUGCAGCAUCCGAGCCUAACGAGCAUAUGUUUCAACAACCAAUUGCUGACAAGCUCGACCCUUCCGAACAAGGUGCUGUCGACACCAAUCACCCGCCGCGAAAAGAAGGUAUAGAUGCAGGUGAAGGUGAAGGUGAAAUGAGUAGAAAGAUGAUGGAGGA